UAGGGAAUCUUCCGCAAUGGACGACCGUCUGACGGAGCAACGCCGCGUGAGUGAAGAAGGAUUUCGGUUCGUAAAACUCUGUUGUUAGGGAAGAAAAAAUGUAUAGUAACUAUAUACAAAAGAGACGGUACCUAACCAGAAAGCCACGGCUAACUACGUGCCAGCAGCCGCGGUAAUACGUAGGUGGCAAGCGUUGUCCGUAAUUAUUGGGCGUAAAGCGCGCGCAGGUGGUUUAGAAAGUCUGAUGUGAAAGCCCACGGCUCAACCGUGGAGGGUCAUUGGAAACUAAUAAACUUGAGUGCAGGGGAGAAAAGUGGAGUUCCUAGUGUAGCGGUGAAAUGCGUAGAGAGUAGGAGGAACACCGCUGGCGAAAGCGGCUUUUUGGCCUGCAACUGACACUGAGGCGCGAAAGCGUGGGGAGCAAACAGG
rnacentral:rRNA from 1 species